rfam:Candidatus Sungbacteria bacterium RIFCSPLOWO2_01_FTLL_54_21 rifcsplowo2_01_scaffold_7492, whole genome shotgun sequence.
UGGGUGAGAAAUAAGAGCAUAUGGUGGAUGCCUAGGGUUCGAACGGCGAUGAAGGACGUGGCGUGCCGGCGAUACGCCUCGGGGAGGUGGCGAGCAACCUUUGAUCCGGGGAUGUCCGAAUGGGGAAACCCGGUUUUGCGUUGAGCAAAACCGCCGUCCCGGUGCCGAUGUUGAUACCUGUCUUUGACACCACGUUCCGUGCCGAUGUUGCAGAAAUGCAAUGUCGGCAGGGACUGGUUGCCAAAAGGCCGGUAGCAAUUUCGGCACUGGGACGGCGCGUACCCGCUGAAGUAAAACAUUUCAGUAAGCGGAGGAACAGAAAACAAUCCGUCCCGCUCCCGAAGUUGCGCGGCGUUUCGGAGCACGGUAUCUAUGGGCAUUGUCCCAACAGUGCCAUGCUGCCGAGCAAAGGCAAUUUCGGCGGCGGAACGACCAUUCCCUUAGUAGCGGCGAGUGAAAAGGGAUCAGCCCAAACCAAUUGCUUCAUGCGAUUACAUCAAGCGGCGUGAUUGGGGUUGUAAGAUAAUGAAUGUCCUGGCGCAAGCCGGGACGCGAGCCAAUACGAACGAAUCUUCGUUAGGAGAACCGUCCUGGAAAGGCGGGCCAUAGAGGGUGAUAGCCCCGUACACGAAAACGGUUUCGUGCUCGUAUCAUUAAUCUUGAGUACUGCCCCGUACGGCGACUGGGCAGGAAACAGGCGGGACUAGUCCGUCAAGGCUAAAUACGUUCGAACACCGAUAGUGAACAAGUACCGUGAGGGAAAGGUGAAAAGUAGCCCGGUGAGGGCGGUGAAAUAGUACCUGAAACCAUAUGCUUACAAGGAGUCGGAGCUCCGGUCGCAAGACCGUGGGUGACGACGUGCCUAUUGAAGAAUGAGCCAACGAGUUUUUGGAUGCUGCUCGUCUAAGCGCCUUGCGGCGCGAAGGCAAAGGGAAACCGAGUGUGAACGAGCGCGCGGUCCCGCUUCCGAAGUUGCUUUACGUUGAGGCAAAGUCCCAAUGUGCCGAUGUUGCGGAUACGCAAUAUCGGCAGGGACAUGCUCCGAAACGUCGGGCAAUUUCGGGAGCGGGGCAAGCAGUAUUCAAAAGACCCGAAGCCAGGUGAGCUUGCCAUGAGCAGGGUGAACCCCGAGUAACAUCGGGGGGAGGCCCGAACCGGUGAGUCGUGCAACGCUCUCGGAUGACUUGUGGUAAGGAGUGAAAAGCUAAUCGAACCUGGUAAUAGCUGGUUCUCUUCGAAAUAGCUUUCGGGCUAGCCUCGGAUCACAUAAUGCGCGAGGUAAAGCUACUGGAUGGUCUGUAAUGGCGAAAGCCAGGCAGACCAACCAAACUCUGAAUGCGCGUAUUAUUAUUCCGGGAGUCAGCAGGCGGGGGCUAAGCUCCGUCGUGCAAGAGGGGAACAGCCCAGACCGUCACUUAAGGUCCCUAAAUCCAUGCUAAGUGUAAAAGGUGGUGGUAUUUCUCAAACAGCGAGGAGGUUGGCUUAGAAGCAGCCAUCCUUUAAAGAGUGCGUAACAGCUCACUCGUCUAGAGAUACUGCGCCAAAGAUUCAUCGGGGCUAAGCAUGGUACCGAAAUUACGGGUCGUACCGCUCCCGAAGUUGCUUUCGUUCAACAGCACGGCACGCGAGACACUGUCUCGCGGGGACAUUGUCCCAGCUGUGCCGUGCUCCGAAACGUCGGGCAAUUUCGGGAGCGGUACGGCAGUAGAAGAGCAUUCGUAUGCCCGUGAAGCCGCAUCCGUGAGGAGCGGUGGAGGAAUACGAAGAGAGAAUGUUGGCACAAGUAACCGCAAUCAGUGUGAGAACCGCUGACGCCGUAAACCCGAGGUUUCCGCAGCAAUGAUGAUCAUCUGCGGGUUAGUCGGUCCUAAGCCGAUGGAGACAUCCGUAGGCGAUGGACAGCAGGUUAAUAUUCCUGCACUGCAUUAUCGCGCGCGAUGGCAGGACGGAGCGCAGUAGGCCGGGCGGAUUAUUGGAUUUCCGUCUGUAGCAUCAGGAGCAUCGGCAGGCAAAUCCGCCGAUGGGGGUCAAGCCCGGCUCCAAGCGCCGCACAAAUACGCGGAGCAAUCCGGCGUAAAUCCGGCACGAGCGCGCUUCCAAGAAAAGUGUCUAAGUAUAGCGAUGGUGCAACCGUACCGUAAACCGACACAGGUGGGUUGGUGGAGUACACCAAGGCGAACGGGUGAGUCCUCGUUAAGGAACUCGGCAAAAAAGCGGCCGUAAGUUCGCGAGAAGGCCUGCCGCUGUCAAUGGCAGUGGCUGCAACAAAAGUACCCCUGGCGACUGUUUACCAAAAACACAGCUCCCUGCUAACUCGCAAGAGGAUGUAUAGGGGGUGACGCCUGACCAAUGCGAGAAGGUCAAAGAUUCUUGUCGUUCCGUUGCCGAUAUUGUCCGGCGUUUCGGAACAUGGUACCCAUGGGACAUUGUCCCGCGCGUGCCAUGCCGCCGAGCGAUUGGCAACAUCGGCAGCGGUACGGCUCUGGGUCUCAAGCCCUCGUCAAUGUCCGCGGUAACUAUAACCGUGUUAAAGUAGCGCAAUUCCUUUUCGGGUAAGUUCCGAAGCGCACGAAAGGCGUAACGACUGGGGGACUGUCUCAACGAGGAGCCCGGUGAAAAUACAGUACCGGUGAAGAUGCCGGUUACCUGUGGUUAGACGAAAAGACCCCGGAAGCUUCACUGCAGCUUGAUAUUGAGCACAACGCGCUGAUGCGUAGCAUAGGCGGGAGGAUAUGAAGGUUUGAUUCCGGUCGGACUGGAUCCGCCAGUGAAAUACCGCUCUUGAGCGUGUUGCGUUCUCACCUUUGCCGCCAAACGGCAAAGGGACAGUGUCUGGUGGGCAGUUUGUGUGGGGCACAACUCUCCCAAAAGGUAAUGGAGAGGUUUAUAAGGUUGGCUAGGCGCCGAUGGAAACGGCGUUGGUCGUGUAAAGGCAUAAGCCAGCCUGACUGCAAGACGGGUAUGUCGCGCAGGUGCGAAAGCAGAACUUAGUGAACCGAUGGUAAUGUCUCGCUGCCGAUGUUGCAUGAUGUUGAAAGCAUGUUCCCGAUCCGUCCGGUGUGACAGAUGUCUCAUCGGGGACAGGGUGAAGGGCAUCGCGCUCAGCAACGUCGAGCAAUACCGGCAGCGAGACGCUUGCUAGAACAAGGCCAAAGAUUAACAGAUAAAAGCUACUCCGGGGAUAACAGGCUAGUUGCGUCCAAGCGUCCACAGCGACGACGCAGUUCGGCACCUCGAUGUCGGCUCACCUUAGCGCGGGGGUGGAGAAGCUCCCAAGCGUUUGGCUGUUCGCCAAUUAAAAAGGUACGCGAGCUGGGUUCAGACCGUCGUGAGACAGGUCGGUCUCCUAUCUACCACAGGCGCAUGAUACUUGAGAGUGGGUCGUCCCUAGUACGAGAGGACCGGGAUGAACGAACCUCUGGUCUGCCGGCUGUCCUGCCAAGGGCACCGCCGGGUAGCUAUGUUCGGAAGCGAUAAGCGCUGAAAGCAUCUAAGCGCGAAGCGCGCCUCAAGAUAAGGUAUCGUAGAUCCCUCGGAGAUGACGAGGUUGAUAGGCCGCAGGUGGAAGCCGAGCAAUCGGUUAAGCCGAGCGGUACUAAUAGAUCGUUCUCACCCAGU